rnacentral:rRNA from 1 species
AGCGAACGCUGGCGGCAGGCAUAACACAUGCAAGUCCAACGAAGCCUUCGGACUUAGUGGCGGACGGGUGAGUAACACGUGGGAACGUACCUAUUGGUUAGGAACAACUUAGGGAAACAAGAGAUAAUACCGGAUGAGCCGCUAGUGGGCAAUAUUUAUCGCCGAAAGAGCGGCCCGCGUUACAUUAGCUAGUUUGUGAGGUAAAGGCUCACCAAUGCUACGAUCUAUAGCUGGUCUGAGAGGAUGAUCACCCACACUGGGACUGAGACACGGCCCAUACUCCUACGGGAUGCAGCAGUGGGGGAUCUUGCGCAAUGGGCGAAAGCCUGACGCAGCCAUGCCGCGUGAAUGAUGUAGUUCUUAGGAUUGUAAAAUUCUUUUACCAGGGACGAUAAUGACGGUACCUGGAGAAAAAGCCCCGGCUAACUUCGUGCCAGCAGCCGCCGUAAUAC